GUGCUUACUUUGGGAGCACAUGUACUAAAACUGGAACGAUACAGAGAAGAUUAGCAUGGCCCCUGCACAAGGAUGACACACAAAUUUGUGAAGAGUUCCAUAUUUUU
ensembl:snRNA U6 U6 spliceosomal RNA